rnacentral:misc_RNA from 1 species
UGGAAGUAAAAGUCGUAACAAGGUUUCCGUAGGUGAACCUGCGGAAGGAUCAUUACUGAGAGGUUAUUAAGCCUUGGGGGUUGGCCUAACUUAAGGUCUUCUCUUAAGGUUCCUCACAGUUAUGUGCAAUGUUGGGUCACCUUGGUUGACUCUGCCUAAAGCUUUUGACUUGAAAAAAGACUUGAGCAAUGGGCUGGCCUUAGGGGCCCCUAGUAUGUUUAUCAUACUAACCCCAAAGGUUUUUUCUACUAUGUCUAUGAAUUGAUGUAUGAAAAAAAAGUUAUUUGUUAACUUGAAGGCUUCUGUAAAAAGAGUCUUUAAAAACAACUCUUGGCAAUGGAUCUCUUGGUUCUCGCAUCGAUGAAGAGCGUAGCAAAGUGCGAUAAUUAUUGCGACUUGCAUUCAUAGUGAAUCAUCGAGUUCUUGAACGCAUCUUGCGCCUAGUAGUCAAUCUACUAGGCACAGUUGUUUCAGUAUCUGCAUCCACCAAUCAACUUAACCUUUUGUGUUGAGUUGGAACUGGGCUUCUAGUUGAUGGCAUUUAGUUGCUGUCAUGGCCUUAAAUCAAUGUCCUAGGUGUUAGAACAUCUAACACCGGAUGGAAACUUUAGAGCGCUUUAAGAGCAGCUUGGUUAGUGAGUUCAAUAAUUCCAAGCAUUAAGUCUUUUAAUGAACUAGCUUUUCUAUCUAUGGGACACUACUUGGAGAAAUCCAAGUAACCUUUAAACUCACAUUUAGAUCUGAAAUCAACUGAGACCACCCGCUGAACUUAAGCAUAUCAAUAAGCGGAGGAA